CACGGUUCUGCAACAUGUCCUUCUCUACCUGAGCUUUAGGUGGGGCUGUGCAGGUUUCAGUCAGCCUGGGGCGGAGUCCGGUCUGCUCUUUCCUCCGCAGCUGCUUUCCAUCAACCCUCAUCAAGCCUCCCUUUAUGAGGACUGCAGGAGCAACCAGACCUCGCCAGAUUAUCUCACUGUUCUUGUGGUAAAUCAGGCCUCUACCAGUAAUAAUACUGUUCCUGUCUAGUAUUCUUACCGUUGCUUUCUCACCUCUUCUCCAGCCUUGAUACACUCCAGCAUUCCAGUCAUCCGACCUCCAGUCCUCCUCCUCCGAUCGUCAGCUGCAAACCUUGCCACCUGCCUGCUCGCCCUUCCACCCUUCAGCUCAGGAUCCAGCCGUGACAGCCUACCUCCUCCUUCAUUCCAGUUUACAUUUGGAUACAAGAACCUGAACCCCGGACACUCUCCAGCUCGGACCAUCCAGAUCCCUUGUGUGAAAUAAACCUGUUCUGCCAUU